UUACUAUAACAAUGCUCAGUGCAUCCUGAGCCUUCCAAAGACACCUGAAAUGACAAACUUUGCAUUGGAUAUCACACAAUCAUAUUAUAAGGAUGAACAUGGGGGUGCAGUGUGUUCCCCUGAGAUACAGAGCAACACACUUGUUUAUU